AAGGGAUGUAGCUGGUUGAGAGAGGAAGUGAGAUUGCAGAACAGAAAGGCAUGUAGGCGUGGGUGUACAGGAAGUAAGUCUCUCUAGAGGCUGAAGAGUUGGUAAGGAUUUAUGUGAUGGUUUCUGUCUGCAACAACAACAACAACAACAACAACAACAAAAAGCUCUUUUGAUGAAAGAUGGAAGCUGCACUCAUCUGUGGCUAAAAGGAUGAGUAUUUGGAAUUCAAGCACUGGAGUGGAAGUCACGCCAUGACUCAGAGCAUUGUGAUGGGCCAGCUGUCCACAGGCUCCUCUCCAGUGUGUGCUCAGACAUCACCACGCCAAACAGAAGACUCACCAGAACGUAAUUCCGAUGAGUUCACUCGCUUGACACAGUUUCCACAUCAGUGGUAGACAGGACCAUGUAGUCACUUUAUCUUCAGCAUUUCAACAGUAGUUUGUACUGUGUCCCAAAUGGCAUGAGCCAUGGUGCCCAGGUCCGUGUGUAAUAGUUCUGCCUGUGCUGCUGUGGGAAAGGAUGCCAAGGACCACCGUCAAAGAGCUGGGGAUUUCUUUCUAAGGCAUCAAUCUAUUUUAUGCUUCAGGGAGCAGUUGAUUCGCUGGAACAGAAACAGCUUCCUUCAGUUGGCACAUGUACUGCACCGCCGUGGCUCCAUUGUCUUGGGAAUAUUUGGUGAAAGUCAGACUAUUUUAAUAGGAUAGACAGAAGAAAAAUGACAAGUCACACUUAUCAGUAUGCCACAUCACAGAUAAAAUCCUUUCUUCAGCCAAGGCCACUGUUGAUUAUUUAUGUCUUGUGACUUUUAAACUUAGCAGAAUUAAGAAAUAAUCCAAAAUGAGCAGACCCUAAAUCUGAUAGUAUAAACAUAUAUCACAAUAUUUUGUAUUAGUACAUUUUCUUUCACUUAAAUGCUCAGAUAUUAACAAGGAAAAGUAUUACUUCAAAAGAAAAUAAAAGGAAAUAGAAUUUGUGAAAACAAAGUCACUGAACAUCAUUUUUCUAAAUAAUUGACUCUAUUUCUCUUUUAAACUAUUGUUUAUAUGUGGGUAUACAUAAGACUACCCAUAUAUGCAUAAGAUACCCAUAUAUCAUAUUUCAUUCCUGAACGAAUCAUCGUUAUCCAAGAGUAUAGGUCUAGAAAGUACAUUUUAGGUUGAUCGUAACUAGACCUAUAAUUAGGUUUAGUUUGUUUGGUUUUGCAGUCUUUUGUGUAACCAUUGUAUUUGUUUAGUAAUUCUUUGGUGUGUUAUAUCCCCCGUGCCUAGGAAGCGCUCUCAUUUCCUGUCAGAAUUAGGCUUCCUGCAUAUGCUGCCAUGAAGCCUUGUCUUCUAUUUAUCUGAUUUCUGCAUUUCUCCUCUAAACCUAUGCUGCACUAGUGACAGGCACUGUUAGUUCUUCUUGGUUUCCUCCGAAUACAGAAAAUAGGGGAUAGGUGUUUUGAAGUGUCACACUGGCAGUUUAAGUCUACUAAUAGGUGACGGGACAGCCUAAUUUAUAUAAAAAAUAAACUAUUGUAUAACAAUAGAAUCAAUGUAAACAGUUACUCCAAUGGCUCCACAUUCAGGUUCCAUCCACGGACUAUUUGAUGAUUUAGUUCAUGGCCAACAAAUAUAAACCUUGGAGUUAGAACAAUUAACUUCUCUUCAGUAUUAUGUAUAUUAUUACGUGAACCAUGUGUAUAGAACACACAAAA